GAUGAACGCUAGCUACAGGCUUAACACAUGCAAGUCGAGGGGAAACGAUAGAGAAAGCUUGCUUUUUCUAGGCGUCGACCGGCGCACGGGUGAGUAACGCGUAUCCAACCUGCCCACCACUUGGGGACAACCUUGCGAAAGUAAGACUAAUACCCAAUGACGUCUCUAGAAGACAUCUGAAAGAGAUUAAAGAUUUAUCGGUGAUGGAUGGGGAUGCGUCUGAUUAGCUUGUUGGCGGGGUAACGGCCCACCAAGGCGACGAUCAGUAGGGGUUCUGAGAGGAAGGUCCCCCACAUUGGAACUGAGACACGGUCCAGACUCCUACGGGAGGCAGCAGUGGGGGAAUCUUCCGCAAUGGGCGAAAGCCUGACGGAGCAACGCCGCGUGAGUGAUGACGGCCUUCGGGUUGUAAAACGUCUAGUGA
rnacentral:rRNA from 1 species